GCAAAAAUCUUGUGUUCUCUUCAUCGUCUACUGUCUAUGGUUGGCCAAAAGAGGUUCCUUGUACUGAGGAGUCUCCCAUAAGUGCUGCAAAUCCUUAUGGAAGAACAAAGCUCUUUGCUGAAGAUAUUUGCCGAGAUGUCUACCAUUCUGACUCUCAAUGGAAAGUCAUAUUGUUGCGGUACUUCAAUCCUAUUGGUGCACAUCCAAGUGGCUGUAUUGGUGAUGAUCCACGUGGAAUUCCAAACAACCUCAUGCCCUUUGUUCAACAAGUUGCUGUUGGCAGGAGACCAGCACUGACAGUUUAUGGAACUGAUUAUCCAACAAAGGAUGGCACUGCGGUACGUGAUUACAUUCAUGUUGUUGAUUUAGCGGAUGGCCAUAUUGCUGCCUUGCGGAAGCUGUUCGAUCCUUCGACCGGUUGUGAAGUUUACAACCUGGGAACUGGGAAAGGAUCAUCAGUCUUGGAAGUGGUGGCAGCAUUUGAGAAGGCAUCAGGAAAGAAAAUUCCACUGGUGAUGUCUGGUCGAAGACCUGGGGACGCUGAAAUUGUAUACGCAGCAACAGAGAAAGCAGAACGAGAAUUGAAUUGGAGGGCUAAAUAUGGCAUU
rnacentral:misc_RNA from 1 species